rnacentral:rRNA from 1 species
GGAGGAGCACGAAGGUUGGCUAAUCCUGGUCGGACAUCAGGAGGUUAGUGCAAUGGCAUAAGCCAGCUUGACUGCGAGCGUGACGGCGCGAGCAGGUGCGAAAGCAGGUCAUAGUGAUCCGGUGGUUCUGAAUGGAAGGGCCAUCGCUCAACGGAUAAAAGGUACUCCGGGGAUAACAGGCUGAUACCGCCCAAGAGUUCAUAUCGACGGCGGUGUUUGGCACCUCGAUGUCGGCUCAUCACAUCCUGGGGCUGAAGUAGGUCCCAAGGGUAUGGCUGUUCGCCAUUUAAAGUGGUACGCGAGCUGGGUUUAGAACGUCGUGAGACAGUUCGGUCCCUAUCUGCCGUGGGCGCUGGAGAACUGAGGGGGGCUGCUCCUAGUACGAGAGGACCGGAGUGGACGCAUCACUGGUGUUCGGGUUGUCAUGCCAAUGGCACUGCCCGGUAGCUAAAUGCGGAAGAGAUAAGUGCUGAAAGCAUCUAAGCACGAAACUUGCCCCGA